rnacentral:lncRNA from 1 species
CCCGAGGCUCCGCUCCGCACCUGGGCUCGGUGCUGUGCUGAGGGAGGGGCUGCGGCAGAGCUCCUGUGGUGGCUGGGCUUUGGGAGCCUUUCGUCCGCUGCUUACCCGGACACGGGGAGGCACCGGGGUUUGAGGCGCCAGAGCUCGGAGUGAGCACCUGCCCGGCGGGGAGCUGCGCUCAGGCUGCUUCUGCGGAUGUUGUAUGUGCCUGUGCGGAGCUGUAAUUGAGUCAGGAGCAUUAUCUGCAGGGGAGAGACUGUGGCUGUAAUCUCUCUCAUUAAUCAACAAGAACAAGCUGGAGACCAUCAAGUCAAUGACUUUAGACCAUCACAUGACAUCAGCUUGUAGUACUUUAUGCUUUUGCUGCUUGCCUGGGAGGACUGAAGAACCUCUGCAGCUACUGUGGAAUCACCUGAGGCAACACAGGUGGCUCCUGCUUUAAGAGUGAUGUCUCAAGGGUGUCAGCAGGGAGAGGCAGCUCUGUCUCGCUGUCCCCUCAGUGAAGGAACAGGACAUGCCAGGCCCAGCAGCAGGAGCUGUGGAACGUGCACCACCCACCUCAUCCCUGGGACAAAAGGCUAGUGUUAUUUUUACAGAUUAUUGUCAGAUGGUCAGAAGAUUUUCCUUUUAUUAGUGUAAAUGGUUAUCA